CCGCGUGUGUGAAGAAGGCCUUCGGGUUGUAAAGCACUUUCAGUCGUGAGGAAGGUAGUGUAGUUAAUAGCUGCAUUAUUUGACGUUAGCGACAGAAGAAGCACCGGCUAACUCCGUGCCAGCAGCCGCGGUAAUACGGAGGGUGCGAGCGUUAAUCGGAAUUACUGGGCGUAAAGCGCAUGCAGGUGGUUUGUUAAGUCAGAUGUGAAAGCCCGGGGCUCAACCUCGGAAUAGCAUUUGAAACUGGCAGACUAGAGUACUGUAGAGGGGGGUAGAAUUUCAGGUGUAGCGGUGAAAUGCGUAGAGAUCUGAAGGAAUACCGGUGGCGAAGGCGGCCCCCUGGACAGAUACUGACACUCAGAUGCGAAAGCGUGGGGAGCAAACAGGAUUAGAUACCCUGGUAGUCCACGCCGUAAACGAUGUCUACUUGGAGGUUGUGGCCUUGAGCCGUGGCUUUCGGAGCUAACGCGUUAAGUAGACCGCCUGGGGAGUACGGUCGCAAGAUUAAAACUCAAAUGAAUUGACGGGGGCCCGCACAAGCGGUGGAGCAUGUGGUUUAAUUCGAUGCAACGCGAAGAACCUUACCUACUCUUGACAUCCAGAGAACUUUCCAGAGAUGGAUUGGUGCCUUCGGGAACUCUGAGACAGGUGCUGCAUGGCUGUCGUCAGCUCGUGUUGUGAAAUGUUGGGUUAAGUCCCGCAACGAGCGCAACCCUUAUCCUUGUUUGCCAGCACUUCGGGUGGGAACUCCAGGGAGACUGCCGGUGAUAAACCGGAGGAAGGUGGGGACGACGUCAAGUCAUCAUGGCCCUUACGAGUAGGGCUACACACGUGCUACAAUGGCGCAUACAGAGGGCGGCCAACUUGCGAGAGUGAGCGAAUCCCAAAAAGUGCGUCGUAGUCCGGAUCGGAGUCUG
rnacentral:rRNA from 1 species